rnacentral:lncRNA from 1 species
ACAAUGAUGGUGUUGAUAGUACUACGAAUGUUGGUGAUGGAAGUGAUGAUACUUGUACUGCAAUCACCAUCCCAAGGUCGGCAAAUAUGACUCUGCUUCAAUUGCCCAACCUAACAAUAUUGGUCAUCAGUAAAUGUGAAGUUUUGGAAUAUAUUUUCACAAGUUCCACACUUGAAAGCCUCGAGCAAAUCAAAGAACUGAUUGUAAAACAAUGCAAGGCAAUGAAAGUGAUUGUGAAGGAUGACACAGAGCACACAGAAACAUCUAAAUCUAUAAUAGUCUUCCCACGUCUCAAGUCCCUUACACUUGUAGAUUUACCAGAUCUCAAGGGUUUCUUCUUGGGGAAGAAUGAGUUCAGGUGGCCAGUAUUGGAAAAGGUUAAGAUUUAUGGCUGCCCACAAAUGAUGAAUUUCACAUCUGGUCACUCCAUGACUCCGAAGCUCAACUACAUACAUACAGCCUACGGCAAGCAUAGUCUUGAAUGUGGCCUCAACUUACAUUUGACCAAUGCUACACAUGAGGAUGAGGUAUGUUAUCACUUUAUUUCAUCAUUUAACCAGGUGAUCAGCAUGUCGUUUUAUGAUGUUCAACAUAUUAUUUGCUUACAAAAAUUAGGUGGCAGGUUCAUAUUUUUAUUCCAGAAGGAAACAUAAAACAAAAAACCAAAUGAAGAUCCAUAUAUAACCACUUCCCUUUUUUAUAUCCAUAAAAAGUUUUGAAAAUAUGCAAUCUUAUUUUUUAUUAUAAAUUAAUAUUUCAUUCCUAAGAUAUUAAGUUAUCCCUUAUGUUAUGAAAGAUGUUAUAUUCACUAAUUCAUAAGUUAGCAAUUUAAUAUUUUAAUCAAGUUAGAUGAACUAAAGACAAAAGGCCCAAUUGACGCAUUCAUUGUGGGUGGUUUUUUCCAUGUCCAAAGAUUUUUGAACAUAUACAAUACUAGGUUCCGUUUGAUUAAUAUUAAAGAAAAUCUAAAAAAAGAAAUUAAAACAAUAAAUCAGUCUUUUCAAUUUUGAUACAAACCUAGUGAGAAGGACCAACUUUGUAAUUUUGGAACCACAGGGACCGUAACCGCAAAAAUCGACAAACGCAUGGACCAAAUUUGCAGUUUUUGCUAAAAAAAACAAACAAAUCUAACUAGUGGCUUGGAGGUUUGGAGUCUGGGCAAGUAUUCGACUAAAGGCAUAACAAAAUAAGCACCUAAGAAAAAGGGCUUCUAAAAUUCACAUAAUAGUUUCUUUCCUUGAAAACAGAAGAUUUAAGAAUUUAUAUCAAAUAUAUGAAUAUAAAAAAUUAUUUUCUUGUGUAUUACAAAUGAUACUUGGCAAGUUCAUUCUUAUUCAAAUCAUUUGAAAGUUUAUAAAUCAUUAAUUAGGAACUUAGAACCAACAACUUCAUUCGGUUAAGAAAAAAACACAAAAUAGAUGGAAAUAAAAGCAUUAGCUUAUUUUACAUAUUUUCACUCAUAUCUAUUAACAAAUAGAUUUUUGUAUGGAGCUAUAUUUUGUAAUUGAAUCAUUUAUAUCGUUUUCAUCCAGUUUAAUCCAAUUAUCUAACAUAUUUUAUAAUAAUGUGAUGUUAGUAGUUAAUCAAGUUGUUCUUUUCUCUCUCAUCUUCUACAAGCUUGAUAUUUAUGUAGCGUUUAUUACCUAAAUUUGACAAAAAUAGUAUUGCUGAGAUGAUUGUAAAAGUAUAAGUAUAUCAUCCAUAUAUCAUUUGUUGUAUUUGACAAUGCAAUAAAAAUACAAUAACAUAGUUAUCUUUUUUCCUAAAAAAGUUGGAUGUAAACAUUCAGUACAUGAAAAACUACCUAUUUGAAGUAGCCAAAACACUUGACUUUUACAGUUUUACUUUUUAUUUUAUCUGCCCACCCCACACACACACAAACACAAAUAUUUAAUUUUUUUACUUUUAUUUAAAAAGACUCAUCAUUGAUAAAAUCUAAAUUGUUUAAACAAAUCGACAUUCAUUAAUAAAAUCUAAAUUGUUUAAACAAAUGCAAUGUAUAAAUCAGAAUUUUUCUUCACAGUGCUCAUCUUCUCAGAAAAUAAUGUAAGCAGUGCCAUAAACUAGGUUGUUGAUUGGAAAUACAUGUUGCCUCGUUUAAAAAUAAUAGAACUUGCAAUCCUUUACUAUGUUUAUAUACUAAAUGUGUUUGUCCUUUAUAUAUAAUUGUAGUGUUUGAGAUGAUCUAUGUUUGAUUUUUCUUUGCAGACUCAACUCCCUAUGUGCUCUACUCCAGAUUUGAUAAAGCUAGUUCAAUUCCCGUGGUCUUUUUCAAAUUUAGUUGAAGUAGAUGCACAGUAUGGUGACAAAUUGUUGAAAAGCCGCAUAAUUUUUCCAUGCAAGGAGUUGCUUAAUCUGAAGAAUCUUGAAAAGCUUUCUAUUACCAAUGCCCUUGGAUCUGUAACACAGGAGGUAUUUGAAGUAGCAGAAGGGACAAAUGAAGAUGUGGAUAUUGAAACACAAUCUGUUGUGGUAUUUGAGAAGCUGAAAGAGGUGACUUUGGAUACAUUAAAUAAUCUGAAGCAUGUGUGGAGGAGCAAUCGGUGGAUAGUGUUGAACUUUCCAAACCUUACAAAGGUCUCAAUUGAAAGUUGUAAGCUUCUUGGGCACGUGUUCACUUGUUGCAUGGUUGGUAGUCUAUUGCAUCUCCAAGAGCUAAAAAUAAGUUACUGCCAGAGUAUGAAUGUGAUUGUGAAGCAAGUUGAAGAUUCCGAGACCAGACCGACUACUGAGGUUGUGUUCCCUUGUCUGAAAUCCAUAACACUUGAAUGGCUUCCAAAUCUCAAGGGAUUUUGCCUGGGGAAGGAGGCUUUUGAAUGGCCAUCAUUAGAUACUUUGGAAAUCAAAUAUUGUCCAAAAAUAACAGUUUUCACAAAGGGGCAAUCAACUACUCCGGAGCUGAAGUUAAUAGAUACAACUUUUGGAUUGUGUCAUGCAACGGAAGAUCCAAACUCUUUCAUAAAGACCAAACAAGAAGAGGUAUAUGGUGUCUCCUUUGGUUAUUAGUAACAGAUUAAUAUGUUUGAUCAAACAAAAACUUUACAUUACUCUCUAAUUUACCACUUUCUUGUAAUCUCCUACAGGGAUGGCAGUUCUAGAGGAACAUUUGAAUUCGCAUGUGCAGUUUUUCUCAUUUUGAAGUCAGCUAUAUAUAUACAAUAAUAGGUAAGAUUUAAUGCAUUUAAAAUUAAAAUUUUAGGCAUUUUUCUGUUUGAUUAUUGGUCAUGUGAAAUGGUUCUUUUCUCAGUAAUCUUUGGAUAUAUAAACAUACUGUUAAUUUCNUAUAUAUAUAUAUAUAUAUAUAUAUAGCAUAAUAGGUAAGAUUACAACAUUGUACCAUGGUUUAUGCCUUAGGAUUUCUUCUAGCACUCAUUUGUUUCCUGUGUCCAUCAUCAUUUAAGUGUUUCUCUACUUUAUUUGAUUGAACUGACUUAAUGACCAACUCUUCUGCUUCAAGGUUAUUGAAACCCUGUUCCUAAGUAAUCUCAUAAAUCCCUUUUGUUAAAAGAUUUAAUUCACAAGAAAUUGAUACUUUAGACUAAAGUCUUUAGUUAAUCUUAUAUUAAAUCUAUUCUUUGGAUUGAUCGGCGAGUGCAAAUCAAGAAUUCUAGACGAAAGACAUAUUCUUUUGUUCAAAGUUCGGCCUCUUUCAUGAGGGCAUUCUAUUUUGACUUUUUCACAGUAGUCAAACUUAAUGCUUUUAAAAUUCAAAUUAUAGGCAUUUUUCUGUUUGAUUAUUGGUCAUGUGAAAACUUUUUUUUUUUUUUUUUUUUUUUUUUUUUUUUUUUUAUAUAUAUUUCCAUGUGUAACCUUUUAUUUUUUUCAUGAUUUUGUUUUUCAGGCAUCUUCUGAUUUCAAACAGCCCCGCUGCCACCACAUGUCCCUGAGUACUCCCUGGAACUUGUGUCUUGUGGUGGCUGGCGGUUGUUUCUGGUGGUGGAUUUGGCCAGAGAAAUUUCCAUGUGUAACCUUUUUUUCCUUGUGUACAUACUUAAAGAAAAAUUACCUGUUUUCAAAAGAAAAACACAAACUGGGUUGCCUUCUUGAUGAAUUAUAUUUCGUCCUUCACUCACAACUUUACCCUGCAAAUAACAUAAACAUACUUUUCUUUACUAUAUUUUAGUCCCCUGUUUUAGGCUAAACUUAGCUUCAAUAUACUCUAUUUUAUACUUAACGCUAUGUUACCUGUUAGUUUUAAAAUAACAUUACAUUGUAGGCAUCACGAUGUGAAGUAAAACAAAAAGAUGAAAAGUUAGGAUGAAGUGAUAUUACUUGAGAUCAUCCUCUAGUAACAUCUGACUUUGUUUAUGUUUCAAAGAAUUAGUUUAUUUUAAAUUUUCAUCUUUUUACAAAACUUAACUUUACCCCAAUUAUAUACUUUAAUCCGUUGGAUUUCAAGGUUCUAUAUUUCAAGUUUAAGACAGGUUUACAAAAUCUUCUUUAAAGGCAGUGAAAAUCAUCAAUUUUCAUAACUUUCAUUUUUUUUUUAAUUACAAAACAAAACACAUUGUUAAAAAAUUCACUAAUAAUAUUAAAAAAACACAAAUAUGGCUACAAUAUUACAAAACAACUAAUUUAAAAAAAAAAAAAAAUACUUCUCUUGCUUUUUUAGAUACAAAAUCAUUAAAAAUACUAUCAAGAUCGAUUUAAUGUAAUAUAUUUUUCUCUCUACAUAAUAUUGUCAAACCAUUCAACAUUUUUUGCGACAUCGAUGACUUUAGUAACUCUUCAAUAACUUUGGUUUUGAAAAAAUUCAUUUUGCAAUGUAACAGUGACAUGAAUGGUUUAAUAAGAUGCUAUAUGCAAUAAAAAUAUUUCGAUAACAAUCAACAACUUUAACAAAGUCCAAAAUUUCAAUAGUGUACAUUAUAUUAUUUGGCAAAGUCAUUUGCAACACCUUUAAUUUUGAAAGUACAUAGCAAAUCCUAAUUUCUAGGUUUAAAAAUAUCUACAAAUGAUUUUUUGAUUUCUUCUGAAAAGUGUUCCUCAAGAAAAUCCAAUAUUUUCUUAUGAAAGUAGAGUAUUUACUGGUAGAGAAUAUGCCGUCAGUUUUAGAGAUACUAGUGUUAUCUUUAGAAAAUCCCAAGUUUUCCUGAAACAGGUUAUCCAUUCUAGAGGUAGAGAUGUAAGACUAGAGAUUCUUGAUUUCUGAUCAGUAUAAAUAUGAAAAUAGUUUUAUUAUUCAAAAUGAAACAUUUUCAAAGUAGAGUCUGUAAACUAAGUUAGCUUAUACUUAUUUGUGAGUCGUAUAACCAUACUUGAUACGACCUAGAGACCUUUAUAACGUUCUUAAGGCAUUAACGUUAAAUGACAUUUGUACACCCCAGACAUGCCUACCUAACUGUAGCUAGCAGUUCAGGUGCCGGAUUGUCAGUCCUGAAUAGAUCUAUCCACAAAUCUCACGCUCUCCCUCCAGGAGACUCUGGUUAUACUAGAAGGAUUUAUCCAUGUACACCUAAGGGUACAUUAAUGAAGUAGCGCCUCACAAUUCUAUAUAAUCCAGUUUACAAGCUAGAGACCAUAGAGAACAAGCUAGUGACCAUAGAAAACAGUAAUUAUCCUUAGAUAAUAUACUUUAUGCUUUUGAGAAAAUAUAUUACAUAACUAUAGUUGUCAUAGUUAUAAUACAUUUAUCCCUGAAAUCUGAUUCAGUAGAGACUGUCUAGAGAUUAUCCCAAACUAUACCCAUUAUAGUUUGUUAGAGUUGAUAUAGAAAACACUUGUUAAACCUUUCUGUGAUUAGUUAGAUUUCCAAAAUAAUAGUUUUCCCUUAUGCUCAACAUAGUACAAAAAGGGAUAAAAUCUGAGUAUGUUAUAAAAAAUUGGAAAUAAUUGGACUGGAUUAACAAGUUUAAAACUUGAUAAAAUACUUUAGAGUUAUGGCUUGUAUUCCCCCCUUGAAAACAUUAAAACACGGAAAAUAUAGGGGUAUAAACUCACCUGUAGUGAGUGACUUGAAUGAAAGAUCGAUAUAGGAUUGUAGAGUGUUAAGUGAAGUCUUUGGCACAAACGAAUCCUAUUAACCAUAUAAUGACACAUAUAUGUAUAUAAUUAGUGUAUAAACAAAUAAUCAUGAAAGGUAACACCCCUUGGGACUAGGAACACUUAUACUGAAGUGCUACAAUCACAUAUGAUUGCAUAAAAGGGGGUGUAUGACCACUAAAUGGGGUUUUCGGUCCAAGUGGUAUGAUUCUAAUAGUUUUCGGUCCAUAUGGUUUUUGGUUCAUAUGGAUUUCAAUCCAUAUGGUUCUCGGAUUCAUAUGAUUUUCGGCCCAUAUGGUUCUCGGUUUCAUAUGAUUUUCGGUCCAUAUGGUUCUCGGUCACGGGAGAUGCACUUGACCGAAAACACCAAUUGUUCCAAAAAAAAAAAACGGAUAUGUUCAAGCCCCUAAUUCGAUAUCCAAACUAAUAACAUGUAAAGGAUGCAAGGACUUACAAAUUUGAAGGCUAAGAAUAGAGGUUUUUGGCCCAAAACACUUUCGUGUUCUUGAAGAUCUAGUACAAAAGAUGGAAAUUUGUGGAUGGAUGCAAAGAUGAUUCAAGAAGAAGAAGUGAUGUAGCAACAUAUAUAUGGAAGGAUCUACUUACAUUUAUGAAGAUUGGAAGAAAACUUGAAGAUCCUUAGGAGAGAUGUAACGAUCGUCUUUCGAGGUAUAAAUUUAUUUAGAUUCUCAAGUUUUAUUUUGGGCUAUAAUAGAAUUGUAUAUGGGAUUGGGCCUCUUUGUUUUGGGUCGAGACAUAGUCUGCCCAUAAGCCGUACGCGGGGCGUAAACCCGUUGUAUGCUGGGUGUAAUGAUUAAAUGAAACGCGAGGAGGAAAAGCGUACGCGCAGCGUACCAUAUGGUACGCCCGGCGUACGCGGUCAGAGGAAAAACCCUAAUUUUAGGGGUUUAAGGCUAUAUAAACCCCAUUAUAGCCUCCUUCCCUGUUUUCCCAUCAGCCUCCUCACUCUCAAGAAAACCCUAAGUCGUUCUUAUCCUCUCUUUGUGUGUGAAGAAGCUUUUGUGAGUGAUUUAAGGAAAGGAAGUGGUGAAGAAGGAAGGGAAGAAGUUGGAGAAGAAGCUUGAGUUCAGGGAUCUGGAUUUAGCACCCUCUUGGUCAGCAAAGGAAGGUAUAAAGUUCUGAACUUUCUUCCUCUUUCCUUCUAGAUCUAGGUUAUGAAAGUUUGGACAUUUUUAAGUCCAAAGGUUGAGUCUUGAUCUUGAAAGUCGGUUUUGGAGCUUGGAUUGCCAUCCUUAAGGCUCAGAAACAUCUUCCUAUCAAUAAAGUUACAAUCUUUGUGGCUUAUAUGGAACCAUGCAUGAGAUCUAGUUAGCUCUGUGGAAGUAGAAUGUUAUUUAUGGAAGUUUGAGCCUUUAUGAGACUUGUAAGCCAUCAAGUAAGCAACUUUAUGGCUUAAGACGUGGAACAAGCUUAGGAUCUGGAUUUGUAGCUUCUGGAUCAGAUUAUUAAGCAUUUAAUGAGAUUUUGGCUUAACAGGGAUGUACGGUGGGCGUACAAGCCAGUAGCCAGUACGCUCAGCGUACCUUGGUGUACGCCCCGCGUACGCUGCCAGUUUGGGCUUCGAGUGUUUUGGGACUCAAUGUGGGAUGAGUUUUAGACUUAGGGUCUUUGGGCCUUAGUGGCCAUCAGAAUUCAGUUGCUUUGGGACCAAGGACUAAUAUUGGGCUUGAGUAAGGCCCAAUAAAAGGUUUUGGGCCCAAUAUAGAAAAUUGGGCCAUUAGUGGGCCUAUAGUGGGGCCAUUGAUGGACUUAGAAGGAAUUGAGGGUUUGGGCCAUAUUGUGACCCAUGCCAUAGUAGGGGUAAAAGGGUCAUUUUACCCAUAGGAGAAUCCCUAUUCUGAUUUAGUGUUUUAUUUCCCAUGAUAGCCAGGAAGCAGCCGAAGCAGCAGUCAGGGAUUUCUCAUUCAGCAGUUCAGCAGUCAGCAUCACGAGGUGAGUUUCCUUCUAGUAGGAACGGGUCUACGGCCACAAUGACGGCCCGUUUAGUUAGCAGUAGUUCCGGAUUCGGUCUAAUGUAGUAGUUUAGGAUGCUUGGUGUCUUUGUGAUUCAAGCAUGUCUAUGUGUUAUGUGUUCCGGGAUUCGGUCCUAUGCAGUUAGUUCCGGACUCCGGUCCGAUGCAGUUAGUUCCGGACUUAGGUCCGAUGUAGUCAGUUUCGGCUUCUGUCACACCCCCGAACCAGACGGCGGAAACGUCCGGGGGCUGUCGUGACUCAAUUGAAUACCAUAACAUUGAAUAUAUAUGAAACAAAACAACAUUCGUCACCAUUCAUCAACAUAAUACAACCAGUAGUGUUUACAUGUCAUACAUUGUUUGAGAUAUUACAUUUCCAAAAAUUAAUAUUGUUUGGUUCAUUCAAAAAUAAACUGCAACCGUCACUGAGCAUGAUUUCCCUUGACUCACUGGUUUCCUGAGAAUACAAGUAUUUUGAAAAACGUCAACAUAUGAAAUGUUGGUGAGUUCAUAAGUAGUGUUUGAAAUCGAAUGUUUAUAUUGUUUGAAAAACACCAGAAAAUCCGAUAUUUUCUGAAAAGAAAAGCUUUCAAAAACGUUUGUGAAGAUCCAUAGGUAUGCUUGUUUGUUUCUAUACUUGCAAAAAUUGUUCAUUUAAGAUGUAUGCGUUUAAAAUCUGUAUGUGAUAAAAACCCUAGGGAAACCCGAUGUUCCCCUAGUUCUUUUGAAAUCCAUUGAGUUGCGUUGAAACCAUUACAAAAAUAGUAGUAUCGGUCCCAAGCGACGUUGGAAGGUUCUCGAGCAUUGAUUAUUUACUACAAACCCGCAUUACACAAAUGCCCGGUUUAUAGAUAUACCAACGAUUCCCGAAGGCGUCGUCAGUACUAAUCACGUUAUCCAAUCGCCCGGACUAUGAGUGGUCCCACAUCCGAAGAGAAAGAGGUCACGAAGACCCCGGUAACUCUAUUAACCGGCUGGGGAAAUAUGUGUGCGAGGGGUCCCCGACCCGCCUCGUAAAAUGUGUAGACUUUUCUAGCAAUACCAUGGCCCUUGGGGUCCAAUGAUACAAGCCAUUGAAAGUCACCCUACGUUGUGCCAAGUCGGUAAAACUCAACACUUCGUAGAAAAAAAAAUGUCUUCGGGCCUUAAGAUCAGGUCAUUGGGCUAGCUAGGCCCAACAAACAAGAUUUUACACUUUUGGGGCCCGAAGAUGGUGCGUAGACGUCUGUGCACACUCGUAUGUAUGUGUAUUACCAAUCGUUAUUUGUAUGUAUCAAAGAGUUAGUAGUUGUAGAUUUCCAUUGGCUCGAGACCGAGCCAAUUCGUUUAGCAACGACUUUUGGUAUUGUAAUGAGUUGUAUUUCGUUGGUAGUCGAGGUAUCGUUAUUUGAUCAAAUUGUACAUAAUGUAUCAGCCUUGAAAUAUUUUUGUUUUCAGCCCCUCAUUAUUUGUAAAAUUUACAUUUUCAACCCUUUUAUUUAAGUAUUUCCCGGUUUGGUCCUUAAACUAUUUUUCUUGACAUUUUAACACCAAAAAUUAUUGAAAUUAAUAUUUUCCAGCAUAUUUUUCAAAGAAAACAGUUUAAGUCCCUGAAAAUGCAGUUUUUCUCGGUUUUAGCCCAUCUUUUCGCAAUUUUGACAAUUUUGGCCCAAAAUGGAAAAUUUUUGCAACUUUGGUCCUUUUUAAAUUUAAAAAGCAUUUUAAACCUUUGAAAAGGGUUUGGGACACUUAUAGUCCACUGUUUUACAGAAAGUUACAGUUUUGGCCCUCCAAAACAGAAAAAUUCGCAUAAUGGGCCUUAUUGGGCCGAAAUUUGCAUUUUUAGCCCAAUAGGCUUGAAAUUUAUGUUUUUAAUCCACCAAUUGAAUAGAAUUCCAGAAAUAGCUUUAUUGAAACUGUUUUGACACAUUUCAACCAUCAGAAUCUGUAAAAUGUCAUUUUGGGCCCUUAAUUUUGUAUUUUUCACAUUUUUGGCCCAAAAUGUGUGUUUUUAGCUUAAAGAAAAUUGUUGCUAACCACUUGGCUAUUUAUCUAGUAUCACUUAUUAUGUAGGAACAUAUUUGAAGCUAAUAUCAUAAAACAUGAGUUAUAUCUCGGUUUUGAGGGGUUUAAUGGCUAGAUCCAACAUUAAAACACAUAUAAGCAUACAUAUAAGCAUGGAAAUCAUACAAGGCAUACAAAUACAUAUAGAUCUACACUUUCACUUGUAUUCCCCCCCACAAAAACUCUUAAAAACAGAAAAUAGGGGUAUGAAUCUCACCUUGAGUGGGUAGUUUCGGUUCUUGAAGAAAAAUUGGAAGAAAUGAAGUGAUUUUUGGCCCUUGCACUCCUUGAUGAACUUUUCGAGAUUAUGGGGUUUCUAGAGUGCAAGAUCACGGUUUUUACAUGGAUUAGGAAGAGAUUUUGAUAACAAAAGAAUUUAAACCAUAGAUCUAUGAAUAAUCUUACCUUAGAUGAUGAUUUACUUGCAAAAUCCUCUUGGAAAGUCCCUAAAUUUCGAGAUCUUUGGAGAGGGGAGGGAAGGAGAGUUCUUUGAGUGUUCUAGAGAGAAAGUUGAGAUAUUUUGGUGUGUGUGAUGAUGCUUGGCCGAGAGUGAGAGAGGAGAGAAGAAGAAAUGACUUUUGAAGUGAUUUGCAUGGAGAUAUGGACUAAGAUGCAUGGAGACAUGUUGGGUAAUAAUGAGGUGGCAAGCAAAUAGUCAACCCUUCUUCUUGGGCUUUUCUUUUGGGCCGAAAAUGGGAAGGAAAAAAAAAGUUUUUGGGCUUUUUGCUCCUAAGCCCAACAUUAGUGUUAAUUAGGGUAUUUAUUGGACUUAUAAAAUAAAAUUGUGAUUUUUGUGCUUUAUUAAGCUAGGUUAGGUUUAAUUAUGGAUCAAAACUUGUGUUUUAUUUCCUUCUAGGUUCUACCUAGCCCAAAAUAUUGAAAUAAACGAAUGUGGGUCCAAUUAGAGCCCAAUUAGGGUCCUAAACCCAUGAUAGUCCAAUUGGAAGCUUAUUGGUCCAUUUGGAUCCAAUAAGGAAGUCUUAGUCCAAAAUGGACUUAACCAAAACUUCUAGGGUCUCCAAUUGUUUGAUGACUAUCUAUAGUACUUGUAUCUUGUAUUUGGUUAAAGUUUUUGAUUCACAUUAACUUGAAUGUAUAGAUUACAUAGCUUAAAAUUCACAGUUGUGACAUCAUCCCCCCGUUAGAGGGAAUUUCGUCCCGAAAUUCUGUUUGAAAGCUAGAUUUGAGAAAACUAGAAUAGGUGAGGGUACUUCUGCUUCAUUUGGUCUUCGCGUUCCCACGUGAAUUCUGGCCCACGCUUUGCGUUCCACCGUACCUUCACGAUCGGGAUGCGACUCUGCUUAGUACGCUUCACCUCCCUGUCCAUGAUUUCGAUUGGUUCUUCGACGAACAGGAGAUUCUCAUUGAUUUCGAUUUCGUCAAGAGGAAUGACAAGGGUUUCAUCUGAUAGGCACUUUUUCAGAUUAGAAACAUGAAACACGGGGUGCACACCGUUUAGCUCCGGGGGUAGUUGUAGUCUGUAGGCUACCGGACCUAUUCGGGCGACGAUUUCGAAAGGUCCAAUGUACCGUGGGUUUAGCUUUCCUCGUUUUCCGAAACGUAUAACUCCUUUCCAGGGUGAGACCUUCAACAAUACUCGAUCACCGACCUGGAAUUCUAAGGGCUUUCGCCGUUUAUCAGCGUAGCUCUUUUGCCGGUCACGCGAUGCCUGUAAUCGAGCUUUGAUCUGGACAAUCUUUUCUGUGGUCUCGCGAAUGAUUUCCGGUCCUGUCAUUGCCCUAUCCGACGUAUGUGUUCUUGCUAGCUGGGUGUCACCUACUUCAGCCCAACAUAACGGUGAUCUACAUUUACGCCCGUACAGUGCUUCGAAAGGGGCCACCUUAAUGCUCGAAUGAUAACUAUUGUUAUAUGAAAACUCGAUCAACGGUAGGUGGGUAUCCCAAGACUUUCCGAAGUCUAUCACACAUGCACGAAGCAUGUCUUCAAGCGUCUGAAUGGUUCGUUCGCUUUGACCGUCCGUUUGUGGGUGAUACGCGGUGCUCAUAUCAAGAUGAGUUCCCAUGGCCUUGUGGAGCGACUGCCAAAAGCGUGACGUGAACCUACUGUCCCUAUCCGAGAUGAUAGAUUUUGGCACUCCAUGAAGUCUUACAAUCUCUCGUAGGUACAAACGCGUCAGCCUCUCCAUCUUGUAGGACUCUUUGAUUGGCAGGAAAUGGGCAGAUUUCGUCAGUCGGUCGAUUAUUACCCAUAUGGUGUCCAAUCCGUCCGACGUCUUGGGCAGCUUGGUCACGAAGUCCAUAGAAAUCCCCUCCCAUUUCCACUCAGGGAUUGCCGGUUGCUGUAACAAUCCGGAAGGUUUCUGGUAUUCCACUUUUACUUUGGCACACGUAAGGCACUUACUAACAUAAGUUGCGAUUUCCGCCUUCAUGUUAGGCCACCAAUAGUGCUGCUUAAUGUCCAAAUACAUCUUGUCCGAACCAGGAUGAAUGGAGUAUCGUGUCUUGUGGGCUUCCUUCAUAACGGUCUCCCUGAAUCCUCCGAUUUUUGGAACCCAAAUACGGUUCAUGAAGUAGUAUACCCCAUUCUCUUUGACUUCCAGGUUCUUCUCCAUUCCGCGUAAUGCCUCGCUAGUUCUAUUUUCCGCUUUCAUAGCCUCUGCCUGGACUGAUGCAAUUUGAGUGGUCAGAUGAGACUGAAUGGUUAUCGAGUGCGUUUUCGUACGGCGAUUUGUGUAUUCCUUCCGACUUAAUGCGUCAGCUACCACGUUGGCCUUGCCUGGAUGGUACUUGAUCUCGCAUUCGUAGUCGUUUAACAAUUCCACCCAUCUUCGUUGUCUCAUGUUCAGCUCCUUCUGAUUCAAGAUGUGCUGGAGGCUCUUGUGGUCCGUAAAGAUGGUGCACUUUGUACCGUACAGGUAGUGCCUCCAAAUUUUUAGAGCGAAGACCACAGCUCCCAGUUCUAGGUCAUGGGUUGUGUAAUUUACUUCGUGCGCCUUUAGUUGACGGGACGCAUAUGCUAUCACUCUUCCACGUUGCAUGAGAACGCAACCUAAGCCUUGAUUUGACGCGUCACAGUAAACUACAAAAUCUUCCGUUCCUUCAGGUAGAGAUAGUACAGGAGCGCUGCAAAGAGCUUGCUUCAAGGUUCGAAACGCAAUCUCUUGUCGGUCUGUCCACUUGAAUGGCACACUCUUUUGCGUAAGCAAGGUAAGUGGCUUGGCGAUUUUUGAGAAGUUUUGGAUGAAUCUCCUAUAGUAGCCUGCUAGGCCUAAGAACUGACGAAUUUCUGUGGGCGUAGUCGGAGUUGCCCAUCCUUCCACAGCUUUGACCUUAGAGGGAUCCACAUGAAUUCCAUCUUGGCUAACUACGUGACCUAGAAAAUUCACGCUCCGUAGCCAAAACUCACACUUAGAGAGUUUGGCGUAAAGCCUUUCCGAUCGCAGCGUUUCUAGGACUUGUCGGAGAUGUUGGCCAUGCUCCUCUUUGCUUCGAGAAUAGACGAGGAUGUCAUCGAUAAACACAAUGACGAAGUUGUCCAAGAACGGUCGACAGAUUCGGUUCAUUAGGUCCAUAAAUGCGGCAGGUGCAUUUGUUAGACCGAAGGGCAUUACGACGAAUUCAUAAUGUCCAUAGCGGGUUCGGAAAGCGGUUUUAGGAAUAUCUUCUUCUCGGACCUUGAGUUGAUGGUAUCCGGACCGUAGAUCUAUUUUAGAAAAAUAGCUAGCUCCUUGGAGCUGGUCGAAUAGAUCAUCGAUUCGCGGGAGUGGGUAGCGGUUUUUAACAGUGAGUUUAUUCAACUCUCUGUAAUCGAUGCACAUUCUGAAAGAUCCGUCCUUCUUUUUGACAAAGAGCACCGGAGCUCCCCAUGGCGAGUAGCUAGGUCGGAUAAAUCCCUUGUCCAGAAGCUCACUGAGUUGGCUGGACAAUUCCUGCAUUUCAGCAGGUGCCAACCGAUAUGGUGAUUUAGCGAGAGGAGUUGCUCCUGGAACGAGGUCGAUUCGGAACUCAACCUGUCUCUCUGGGGGUACUCCUGGAAGAUCUUCGGGAAACACGUCCGGAAAUUCACACGCUACCGGAAUGUCUUGGAUGUUAGUUUCUUCUUUGGUCUUGUCCACUAUGUGGGCCAAGAACGCUAAGUUGUUCUUUCGCAGAUGUUUUUGUGCUUUGAUGCACGAGAUAAGACGAAGAUUCGUGCUAGGUUUGUCUCCGUAAAUUACUAGGGUUUCGUGAUUCGGGAGACGAAGGCGAACGGCCUUCUCGUGGCACAUAAUCUCAGCAUGGUGGGGGCUUAACCAAUCCAUGCCGAUAAUCACAUCGAAACUCCUAAUUGAUACUGGCAUUAGGUCUAUUCGAAAGACGUGCUGGUUAAGGGUUAGGGUACAUCCGAUGUAGAUCUCCCUAGUGGAUUCGGUUUUCCCAUUGGCCAUUUCCACCGUAUAGGUUUCAUUUAGCUUCUGGGGUUGUUGUUUUAGUAAAUGUUUAAACUUCUCGCUUACGAAACUUCGCUCCGCUCCGGUAUCAAAUAAGAUGCAUGCAUAAGUGUGGUUUAGGAGAAACGUACCGGUCACAACUGCGGGAUCUUGAACUGCAUCACUCUGACCCAUAGUCAGCAUUCUUCCUGUUCCUCUGUUUCCGGAGUUGUUGUUGUUGUUAGGGCAAUCUCGACGGAAAUGUCCCGUCCUUCCACACCCGAAACAGGUGUGGCUAGGCCCUGCGUUGUUGCCGCCGGCAUUGGUGUUGUUGAUGUUGCGGUGAUUGUUGUUGUUGUUCUGGUUGUUUCCCUGACUCUGGUUCUGAGAAGGAUAAGUCCUGCAGAACUUUGCAGUGUGUCCCCUUCGGUUGCAACUGGUGCAAUGGAACUCCCUACAUUCUCCUUGGUGAUGGAAACCGCACUUGUUGCAUUUGGGAUGAGUGCCGGAAUAGGGUCUUGAAGUAUUUGAAGUAGCUGAGGCUGGAGCAUGUGAUGUGACUGGUACCGGCGCAGUGACAGCGUGAACUGCCACCGUUUGCUGCUUUUUAGAGGUCUCGGGACCUUGACGCCCCUUCCUCUUGUUGUUCCAUCCCUUCUUACCAUCGCUCUCCUUCUUCUUCUCAGUCUCUACCGGUUUCUCGCCCUUUUUGUGGUUAUGAUCAUAGAGCCUCUUUGCCAAUCUCUUCGCGCUGUCAAACGUUUCAGGGUUAGCAGCUAUCACAUUCCCUUGAAUGGGGGAUGUCAAUCCCCAAAUGAAUCGUUCAAUCUUCUUCCCCUCUGAUGUGAUCAUACCCGGGCACAACAGAGAUAGUUCGCUGAAUCUCGAUAUGUAAGCAUCGAUGUUCCCAUUCUGCACCGUGAGAUUCCAUAGUUCCUGCUCCAUCUUCUGUAUUUCGCCUCGGGGGCAGUACUCAGCCGUCAACAUCUCUUUCAUCUCUGCCCAGGGAAUAGAGUUGGCGACAGGGAGUGUCAUAGCUUCCACAUGACCAUUCCACCAAGUGAGUGCUUGGUCCACAAAAGUGCAGGCCGCGAACUUCACUUUCAUCUGCUCGGGGCACUCGCAUAUCUCGAAUACCGACUCUACCUUCUCGAUCCAUCGCUUUAGGGCGAUCACUCCUCCGGUACCGUUGAAAGUUCGGGGUUUAGCGUUCGCAAAAUCCUUGUAGGUGCACGUUUUAGUGAGUCCUUGGUUCGUCCCGUUGUUCGAACUUCCGGAUCCUUGCCCGUUACCUCCUCCGUUGUUCCCUCGGUGAAGUUGUGCCAUAGCCGCUGUGACCGCAGCAGACACGGCUGCCUGGAAAGCAGUGGAGUCAACUUCCGGCGGGGUUGGUUCGGGAUUUCCGCGAGUAGCUGGGCGAGGCAUCUUUCUGUCAUGAAACGGAAAGAUGUUGAGUGUACGUGGUUUCGGUGAGGUUAUGAUCCUACUAACUAGGUGUAUGGUACGAACCUAAGCAUUACUAUCAUCAAGCAUACAAUCAUAACGCCUCAACAUAUAACAACUGAGAAUAUCAUAGCAAAACACACAAAAGUUUAUUAAUAUUAUCCGCAUUUAGUACAAGAAAAUUUGCUCGUAGGAGCAUACAUAAGUAACACUAAUCCGACAGCAUAACGGCUCCAUGAGUAGUGUAGUCACUUAAACAUAGAGCCGGAGUACAUAACAUAGUUACUAAUAUCCUACUACGAUAGGUCUAUCCCUAACCGCGAUGAGCUGCGUCAGGAGGUGGUGCCGAAGUCAUAUGCCGAAAUGUUGCGCCAGUAGCUGCGCCAUCUCUGCCAUGUCUCCUAUAACUUCAUCCCUCUCGUGCUCUGCUCUCACUGCCCGAGCUUCCAUAGCAUACAGCUGUUGUCGCAGUGCGGCGAUCUCAGCUUCGAGGGAACGGUUCUCCCUUGGGGGGUUCACUGGUGGAGCGGGGUGAUCUGGUUGUGCCUCGUCCUCGCAUGGUGGGAUGGGGUCCUGGCCCCCGACCUGACCCUCCUCGUCGUCAUCGUCGACCUCUCCAAAUUCGUAGUCGGUGUCUAUAUAUUCGUCGGGUUCGACGUCGUGUGCUUCUCCUGGAUGCUCUCCCGGCUCAUCCACCAGCAUCCCGUGAGCUACUAAGGCCUGAUGAAACUGGAUACCCGGCUGCUCCUCCUCAGGCUCCUCCUCCUCCUCUAGCCACCCGUUGUUUCCCUGAUUAGGGAAGUAGGGGUCUCCAGGGUGAUGAAAACCAGCCAUGCUGUCUGCGCGAGUACGUAAUUAUGCUACAUUAUUCCUAGGGUACUAUGACUAUUACACAGACUAAGCAAAUAUUCUCUUUUUGGGUGAUAUAGGGUAAAAUUUUUAGGUUCCCUGGCUAUUCCGAUCUCAUCAAGACAUGUGUUAGUUUUACCUUGGAGAGAAUGUAGUUGAUCAGGCUACAUUCACUCCUUGGUAUCACUAAGAACAGUCCCGAAUUAACCGAGAUACCAGUAUUAUGGUGUUUGAUUCAGCGUUAGGUCCUUACUCCUAAUGCAAGCAAGUGUAUUUUAUUCAUUUGUUUUGUUCAGAGUUAUGUUAGUCCCUCUUUUUGGUUUAUAGUUGCAUAUCAAUGUAUGGCUCGACAUGCUAGUUCACUAUAAACAAAGCUCUGAUACCAACCUGUCACACCCCCGAACCAGACGGCGGAAACGUCCGGGGGCUGUCGUGACUCAAUUGAAUACCAUAACAUUGAAUAUAUAUGAAACAAAACAACAUUCGUCACCAUUCAUCAACAUAGUACAACCAGUAGUGUUUACAUGUCAUACAUUGUUUAAGACAUUACAUUUCCAAAAAUUAAUGUUGUUUGGUUCAUUCAAAAAUAAACUGCAACCGUCACUGAGUAUGAUUUCCCUUGAUUCACUGGUUCCCUGAGAAUACAAGUAUUUUGAAAAACGUCAACAUAUGAAAUGUUGGUGAGUUCAUAAGUAGUGUUUGAAAUCGAAUGUUUAUAUUGUUUGAAAAACCACCAGAAAAUCCGAUAUUUUCUGAAAAGAAAAGCUUUCAAAAACGUUUGUGAAGAUCCAUAGGUAUGCUUGUUUGUUUCUAUACUUGCAAAAAUUGUUCAUUUAAGAUGUAUGCGUUUAAAAUCUGUAUGUGAUAAAAACCCUAGGGAAACCCGAUGUUCCCCUAGUUCUUUUGAAAUCCAUUGAGUUGCGUUGAAACCAUUACAAAAAUAGUAGUAUCGGUCCCAAGCGACGUUGGAAGGUUCUCGAGCAUUGAUUAUUUACUACAAACCCGCAUUACACAAAUGCCCGGUUUAUAGAUAUACCAACGAUUCCCGAAGGCGUCGUCAGUACUAAUCACGUUAUCCAAUCGCCCGGACUAUGAGUGGUCCCACAUCCGAAGAGAAAGAGGUCACGAAGACCCCGGUAACUCUAUUAACCGGCUGGGGAAAAAUGUGUGCGAGGGGUCCCCGACCCGCCUCGUAAAAUGUGUAGACUUUUCUAGCAAUACCAUGGCCCUUGGGGUCCAAUGAUACAAGCCAUUGAAAGUCACCCUACGUUGUGCCAAGUCGGUAAAACUCAACACUUCGUAGAAAAAAAAUGUCUUCGGGCCUUAAGAUCAGGUCAUUGGGCUAGCUAGGCCCAACAAACAAGAUUUUACACUUUUGGGGCCCGAAGAUGGUGCGUAGACGUCUGUGCACACUCGUAUGUAUGUGUAUUACCAAUCGUUAUUUGUAUGUAUCAAAGAGUUAGUAGUUGUAGAUUUCCAUUGGCUCGAGACCGAGCCAAUUCGUUUAGCAACGACUUUUGGUAUUGUAAUGAGUUGUAUUUCGUUGGUAGUUGAGGUAUCAUUAUUUGAUCACAUUGUACAUAAUGAAUCAGCCUUGAAAUAUUUCUGUUUUCAGCCCCUCAUUAUUUGUAAAAUUUACAUUUUCAACCCUUUUAUUUAAAUAUUUCCCGGUUUGGUCCUUAAACUAUUUUUCUUGACAUUUUAACACCAAAAAUUAUUGAAAUUAAUAUUUUCCAGCAUAUUUUUCAAAGAAAACAGUUUAAGUCCCUGAAAAUGCAGUUUUUCUCGGUUUUAGCCCAUCUUUUCGCAAUUUUGACAAUUUUGGCCCAAAAUGGAAAAUUUUUGCAACUUUGGUCCUUUUUAAAUUUAAAAAGCAUUUUAAACCUUUGAAAAGGGUUUGGGACACUUAUAGUCCACUGUUUUACAGAAAUUCACAGUUUUGGCCCUUCAAAACAGAAAAAUUCGCAUAAUGGGCCUUAUUGGGCCGAAAUUUACAUUUUUAGCCCAAUAGGCUUGAAAUUUAUGUUUUUAAUCCACCAAUUGAAUAGAAUUCCAGAAAUAGCUUUAUUGAAACUGUUUUGACACAUUUCAACCAUCAGAAUCUGUAAAAUGUCAUUUUGGGCCCUUAAUUUUGUAUUUUUCACAUUUUUGGCCCAAAAUGUGUGUUUUUAGCUUAAAGAAAAUUGUUGCUAACCACUUGGCUAUUUAUCUAGUAUCACUUAUUAUGUAGGAACAUAUUUGAAGCUAAUAUCAUAAAACAUGAGUUAUAUCUCGGUUUUGAGGGGUUUAAUGGCUAGAUCCAACAUUAAAACACAUAUAAGCAUACAUAUAAGCAUGGAAAUCAUACAAGGCAUACAAAUACAUAUAGAUCUACACUUUCACUUGUAUUCCCCCCCACAAAAACUCUUAAAAACAGAAAAUAGGGGUAUGAAUCUCACCUUGAGUGGGUAGUUUCGGUUCUUGAAGAAAAAUUGGAAGAAAUGAAGUGAUUUUUGGCCCUUGCACUCCUUGAUGAACUUUUCGAGAUUAUGGGGUUUCUAGAGUGCAAGAUCACGGUUUUUACAUGGAUUAGGAAGAGAUUUUGAUAACAAAAGAAUUUAAACCAUAGAUCUAUGCAUAAUCUUACCUUAGAUGAUGAUUUACUUGCAAAAUCCUCUUGGAAAGUCCCUAAAUUUCGAGAUUUUUGGAGAGGGGAGGGAAGGAGAGUUCUUUGAGUGUUCUAGAGAAAAAGUUGAGAUAUUUUGGUGUGUGUGAUGAUGCUUGGCCGAGAGCAAGAAGGGAGGAGAGAAAGAAGUGACUCUUGAAGUGAUACAUGCAUGGAGGUAUGUGAUUUGUGCCUAGAAAUCCAUUAGGUAAUAGUGAGGUGGCAACCAAAGUCAACCUCCCUUGGAUUUGGGCCUUGGGCCGAGAAUAUGAAGGGGAAAGAGGAAAAAUUUGGGCUUUUGCCCCUAAGCCCAACAUUAGAGGUAGUUUAGGGUAUUUAUUGGACUUAUAAAAUAAAAUUGUGAUUUUUGUGCUUUAUUAAGCUAGGUUAGGUUUAAUUAUGGAUCAAAACUUGUGUUUUAUUUCCUUCUAGGUUCUACCUAGCCCAAAAUAUUGAAAUAAACGAAUGUGGGUCCAAUUAGAGCCCAAUUAGGGUUCUAAGCCCAUGAUAGUCUAAUUGGAAGCUUAUUGGUUCAUUUGGAUCCAAUAAGGAAGUCUUAGUCCAAAGUGGACUUAACCAAAACUUCUAGGGUCUCCAAUUGUUUGAUGACUAUCUAUAGUACUUGUAUCUUGUAUUUGAUUAAAGUUUCUGAUUCACAUUAACUUGAAUGUAUAGAUUACAUAGCUUAAAAUUUACAGUUGUGACAGCUUCAGUCCGAUGCAGUUUCCGGACUUUGGUCCGAUGGAGAGGGCAAGGCCCUGGUUAGUUCCGGACUUCAGUCCAAUGCCGUUUCCGGACUUCGGUCCGAUGCAGUGGGCAAGGCCCAAGAUGUGUUUAUAUGUUAUUGUAUGGUAUGUGAUAGUUUGGGGGAACUCACUAAGCUUCGUGCUUACAGUUUUCAGUUUUGGUUUCAGGUACUUCCGCAUUGCACACACUACAACUUCAGUUUUAUUCCUGGGAGUUUUUCUUAGUUAUGAUGUGAUACAGUUCCGAUACAGUUUGUGAUACGACAUUUUAUUAUGGUUUGAAAUAUUUAACGUAUGGGUUUUAUAUUAUGACAUUCAGUAUAUGAUUUUAGUAUUAUUAAACAAAAAUUUUUGGGACGUAUUUUUGGGUCGUUACAAGUUGGUAUCAGAGCCUUGGUUUGAGGGAUUCGGAUACACUUUCGGGUGUGUCUUGAUGGGUUUUGGCCAUAUGAACAUUCCUAUGUGCACAUGCAAACCCUAAUGCUUGGAUCUAGGUUUCUCUAAUUAAACAUGCUUUCUAUCCAAGACUUCUAAUGACUAAUUAGGUAUAAGAACAAUACAAAAUCAGAUCUAGAAGCUUACCUUUGAAUCUCUUGUUUGAUCUUGUUGUCUUGGAGCUCUAGAGUCACAAUUGUCACUCCUCUAAUGGCUUACAAACACCAACUAGCAAGGAGGAUGAUUUGAGAGAGAGGUUGGAGGAAGAAAUCGGCCAGAGUAUCUUUACUAUGUUGGAGGUGCCGAUUUCCCUUACCCAAGGGGUCUAUUUAUACUUGUAAGGCUCUUAGGGUUUCACCCUUAAACCCUAAUUGGAUAACUUAAACUUUAAGUAAUCCUAAUCCCUAUCUAAGAUAGCCUUGGACGAUUUUAGGCUUAUCCUAGCCCUAGAAAUCGUCCAUACCCUAUCCCAUAAGGAUUUACAGCCCAAAGUGUAACUAUCAGACAAUUGACAGUUUAUACCCUCUUAUUUAAUUAAUCUCUUUAAGUCACCAAAUUAAUACUAAUCAAUCUAUGACUUAUAUUAAUUAAAUAACUAUAUUAUUAUUCCUUAUAUUAUUCUCAUAAUAUAUUAAUAAUAUCUAUUCUCUCAUAAUAAAUCAUCCUGUCAAGUUGCUAUGGUGAAGGCAACCCAAAAGGACCAUGCACAAUCGGGUCAAAUACUUGCAUAAUAUAGUUGCAGCCUUAGACACUAUUCCAACAUGUCUGAACUCAAACUAAGGAAAUGGUAAAAGAUUUUUAAAAGAAAAACAUUUUUGAAAAAGAACUUAGAAAUAAAAGAGUUUUGAUAAGAGAAAAGGGUGUGGUGCAUGUGAUCAGCCGAGCUCAAGUAAGUACUCCCAAAUUACCCAUACAAGUUUAUAUUAUGAUUAUCUGCUUCAGUUUCAGUAGAACAACAUGCUAGUAUAGGACUAAGGAUCUAUGAGGAUGUCUUAUGUGCCUACUUUAUGUGUUUCAGCUUUAUGAGAAUUGCAUGCUAGUAUUUGAGUAGACAGCAGUAGGAUAGCCUGAUUAGGUUAUGCCUGGUAAUAUGAGCUUAGCAUUGUAUGCUAGUACAAUUUCUCAUUAUGAGGAUAGAAUUGUUUGAGUAGUUUCCUGUGUCCGAAUGCUACUUGCUUUGUGCUUUGUGGGACUCUGAGUAAUGGGAGUUAGCCAUUAGGUGAAUACGUCACAUCACAUGUGAUCAGGGUUGAAUAAUCUCAGAGUGUUGGAUUUGGCCCUACUGCACAGCUCUCGUUUGAGUCUAACCGUUAUAGGGAUGACUCUUUUACUCGAAGGAUUAUCCGAGCCUCAUCACAUGUGAUGGUAUUCAGGUGAUGACUAAUUGGCAUUACAAGGAGGCCUGCAGCGACUGAUGACUGGUUUUGGUUGAGUCAGAGAUUUCCCUAGUGCAAGCCUAGGAUGAGAGUAGCAGAGAUUAGUAGCAAUGUUAGUGGCUUGGUGGAAUCAAGGCGGUCCUUGAGGAAGGUACAGGUAGAUGUGGAAGGUAGUAGGGCCCCAUACUACUGGAAGCAGAGGAUCUGUACUUGAAUCGAGGAAGGCUGAGAUGAGACCGGAAAGCCUGUAGUAGUAGUGAUCCCUCGAGAUAAAUCAGUAUUUCUAACGUUUAUCAUGAUGUGUUUUUAGAAUGGUGGUUUUACGCCUUAGACCAGCAGGCGGCAGUUCAGGUGCCGGGGAGGGAUCAACAUCAAGCUCGGGGGCCGAGCAGUUGGAUGAGCAGACUAGAGAGUUCUUCACUUCAGAAGUUACUUGUAUCAUUCUCGAGCAGACUCCAGUGAUCUUCUGUUCGAUCAAGGAGGGUAUACUAGAGUUGAUGGAGGAGAAACUAAGCACAUUCGUGCUGAGGUGGCGGCCAUGAUGGGGUCGCGCACACAUACGUUCAAGGAGUUACGGGCAUGUGGGGCUCCAGACUAUCACAGGGCAUGUAUAAUAAUUUAACCGUUCAUGUUAGAAAAAAUUAUUUAAAACAUGAAGAAGAAGAUGAUGCAUGUAAUCAAUGCAGGUACGGAAAUAUAAGCAUAUUGAUUGCAAACUCAUUUCCUAAUAAUAAAUAAAUUUAGAAGUACAAUUAUGUUUUCAUUUUCUCACAUUGAGGGGGUAAUGGGUUAUAUAGUCCAAUGAUAUUUGUUUUCUCUUCAUAAAUCAUGGCACUAUAAUAAUUUUGAAUGGGGCCAUAUACAGAAAACCAUUAUAUUUUAGUCAUUUUUUUCUGUUCAACAUAUUUUCAUUUACUUUCUUAUUAUAGCAUCAUACUUUCAUUUCUUCCAGUUAUAGCAUCAUACUUUGAAAAAUAUACCCAAUUACACAUGGCUACAAUGGCUUGAUAAGAAAAGUUGAAAGUAGAAUGCUAUAAAUGGGUGGAUUUUGAAAGUACCUAUAUGCUGGUCUUGGGUCAUUUAUUAAAGGCUAAAAUGCUAGAAAUAGCAAUUUACUUUCAUCGAUUUGCUUAUCAGAGCAUCAUACUUUCUCUUUUUCCUANUGAUUAAUUGCUAAUCAAAGUCUGUUCAUUUUCAAGUUUUAAUUUGAAUAAAUGCUAAUUAGUUGUGUUAAUUAGCACCUUGGCAGUUUUGUUUUUUCUUGUUUCUAUUUCCUUUUUUUCCCAGCUGUUCAUGAUUGAUUUAGUAUACCUUUUCUUUCAUCCACCAUCUACUUGUUCUCUCUUGCCAACAAUAUAAAGCAUAGCAUACAACUGAUUUCUUGUUUUUAGUUAUUUGGUUAUAUAUAACAAGGGUAUUUUGGUCAUUUGACAAACCUUCUUCCUUAAUGGAGUGUCAAACACCAUGAUCUGAUUUCUCUUAAUUCAUUUUUUCACCAUAAAAUCCAACAUUAACUUUGAAUCUUUCACAUGUAGGCCCAGAUUUUUUGGCCUAGGUAGUCUUCUAUCCUUAUGCUGAUUCUGUGUCUUUCAGAAGUAUGCUUCUUAUGAUCCUUCCACUCGCUUCAUGUCGUUGAUUCUGUCUGUCACCACCAGAACCUCAUAAAAGUUUCUGCUGACGUGUCACACUAGUGUUGACCUGGAAUUUGUGAAAAGUCCAAUGCCAUAUAUUUUCUCUUCAUAAAUCAUGGCACUCUACUUCUGCUUGCCUUAUGAAAUCCACCCAAGUUUGGAGAAAUAUUCUAUGCUGACCACUUUGACCUACUAUAGCAGGUUAAAGUGGUCACAAUAGAAAAUUUUGUCAAAGUUGAGUGACUUUAGUGAAAUUAAGAGGACUAAACUUUGACAACCUUUUCAAUUAUGACCCACUUUAACCUGCUAUAGUAGGUCAAAUUUGUCGAUAUAGAAAGAAAUUUCAAACUUGGGUAGGUUUGAUGAGCUAAAACUGAAAUGGAAUUGUUAAACUGCAAAAAAAUGGCCGAGAUAUUGUGAUUUUUCUAUAUAUUGCCCUUUUGUAGUUCAACUUACAUUGUCGACGUUACUGAACUACCUUAGUUUUGGGAAGCACUUGUGCAUGUACAUAGCAAAUAGCUAAGCUUUGUUAAUUUAAAUAGAUCCAUUGAUUUUUCAUCUGUUGUUGUAGUGUUCUCAAGUAGGCGUUGCUUCUUGGUUCUUAUGCCAAUACUCCAAAAUGAUUUAUAUAAUUGAGUGUCCUGCCCUAUCAAGAGUGUUUCCAUCCAAUGUAGUGGGACAACUGAAUAAGCUUGAAGAGUUGAUAAUAGAAGAAUGUAAGUCAAUGGUGGAGAUAUUUGAAAGUAAAGAAAUAAACAAAGAUGGUGUUGAUAGUACUACGAAUGUUGGUGAUGGAAGUGAUGAUACUUGUACUGCAAUCACCCUCCCAAGGUCGACCAAUAUGACUCUGCUUCAAUUGCCCAACCUAACAAUAUUGUAUAUAUAUAAAUGUGAAGUAUUGGAAUAUAUAUUCACAAGUUCCACACUUGAAAGCCUCAAGCAACUCAAAGAACUGACUGUAAAACAAUGCAAGGCAAUGAAAGUGAUUGUGAAGGAAGACGGAGAUUUACCAGAACUCAAGGGUUUCUUCCCUCGUCUCAUGUCCCUUUUGCUGGCUGAUUUACCAGAUCUCAAGGGUUUCUUCUUGGGG